GGGCGCUUGGUCUAGUUGGUAUGAUAUCCCAUUCGCAUUUCUAAGUAUGUAACUUGGGAAGGCCCCGGGUUCGAUUCCCGGAGUGUCCA
rnacentral:tRNA from 1 species